GUAGGGAAUAUUGGGCAAUGGAUGCAAGUCUGACCCAGCCAUCCCGCGUGCCGGAAGAAGGCCCUCAGGGUUGUAAACGGCUUUUGACGGUGAAGAAUCGACAGGAUGCGUCCUGUUUUGACGGUAGCCGUUGAAUAAGCACCGGCUAACUCCGUGCCAGCAGCCGCGGUAAUACGGAGGGUGCGAGCGUUGUCCGGAUUUAUUGGGUUUAAAGGGUGCGUAGGCUGGAAGGUCAGUCAGCGGUGAAAAGCUAUCGCUUAACGAUAGUCUUGCCGCAGAUACUUCCUUUCUUGGAUGAGGAGGAGGCCACUGGAACGGAUGGUGUAGCGGUGAAAUGCAUAGAUAUCAUCCAGAACACCGAUUGCGAAGGCAGGUGGCUGUACCUUAAUCGACGCUGAUGCACGAAAGCAUGGGGAGCAAACAGGAUUAGAAACCCUUGUAGCC
rnacentral:rRNA from 1 species